rnacentral:rRNA from 1 species
UACGAAGGGGGCUAGCGUUGUUCGGAGUUACUGGGCGUAAAGGGCGCGUAGGCGGCCCUCCAAGUCGGGUGUGAAAGCCCACGGCUCAACCGUGGAAUUGCACUCGAGACUGAAGGGCUCGAGGACGGGAGAGGAUGGUGGAAUUCCCAGUGUAGAGGUGAAAUUCGUAGAUAUUGGGAAGAGCACCGGUGGCGAAGGCGGCCAUCUGGACCGUAUCUGACGCUGAGGCGCGAAAGCCAGGGGAGCAAACGGG